rnacentral:rRNA from 1 species
AGGACGAACGCUGGCGGCGUGCUUAACACAUGCAAGUCGAACGAUGAAGCCUAGCUUGCUAGGUGGAUUAGUGGCGAACGGGUGAGUAAUACGUGAGUGACCUACCUUUGACUCUGGGAUAAGCCUGGGAAACUGGGUCUAAUACCGGAUACGACCAAUCUCCGCAUGGGGUGUUGGUGGAAAGCGUUAUGGAGUGGUUUUAGAUGGGCUCACGGCCUAUCAGCUUGUUGGUGAGGUAAUGGCUUACCAAGGCGACGACGGGUAGCCGGCCUGAGAGGGUGACCGGCCACGACGUGGGACUGGAGACACGGCCCAGACUCCUACGGGAGGCAGCAGUGGGAAUAUUGCACAAUGGGCGCAAGCCUGAUGCGAGCGACGCGCGUGACGGGAUGGACGG